rnacentral:rRNA from 1 species
GGAGCAACGCCGCGUGAGUGAUGACGGCCUUCGGGUUGUAAAGCUCUGUUAAUCGGGACGAAAGGCCUUCUUGCGAAUAGUUAGAAGGAUUGACGGUACCGGAAUAGAAAGCCACGGCUAACUACGUGCCAGCAGCCGCGGUAAUACGUAGGUGGCAAGCGUUGUCCGGAAUUAUUGGGCGUAAAGCGCGCGCAGGCGGAUUGGUCAGUCUGUCUUAAAAGUUCGGGGCUUAACCCCGUGAUGGGAUGGAAACUGCCAAUCUAGAGUAUCGGAGAGGAAAGUGGAAUUCCUAGUGUAGCGGUGAAAUGCGUAGAUAUUAGGAAGAACACCAGUGGCGAAGGCGACUUUCUGGACGAAAACUGACGCUGAGGCGCGAAAGCCAGGGGAGCGAACGGGAUUAGAUACCCCGGUAGUCCUGGCCGUAAACGAUGGGUACUAGGUGUAGGAGGUAUCGACCCCUUCUGUGCCGGAGUUAACGCAAUAAGUACCCCGCCUGGGGAGUACGACCGCAAGGUUGAAACUCAAAGGAAUUGACGGGGGCCCGCACAAGCGGUGGAGUAUGUGGUUUAAUUCGACGCAACGCGAAGAACCUUACCAGGUCUUGACAUUGAUGGACAGAACUAGAGAUAGUUCCUCUUCUUCGGAAGCCAG